GUGGCUCACGCCUUUAAGGACCUGGAGGGCGGUACAUACAGGCAGUGACAAGGCAGUCACGAGUUUAGUUUACAACCAAUGAGAAGGCAGAACAUCUAGACUAUCUAAAGACAUAUACACAGAAAGAGGCCCUUUUUUCAGAGAGCUCUCUUGGCUGAAGCAGGAUAGCUGAAGCAGGAAGGGUAAGGCUCUUAGUUCUGACCUCUUGGCUUUCUUCUCUGAAUCGGCUCUGUGUUUCUUAUUUAAUAAGAUGGUUGGUUACAUCUACAGGUGUUCUCUAGUUUGUUGGUGUUUUUUUCAUGCAGGCUGUUGGGAGGACCCACUGUCUAUGGACACUUUUUUCUGUUCCAUGGAUCUGUGCCCCUGGAGGGAAUUUUGUGUGAUGACACCUGGAAUGUUGUGGGAAAUCCAUAAGGACAGACACGGUGGGUGUGUGCUGCAGGCAUCCUGGAGUUAAGAGUGAGAAUUGCUUCUUGUCCCUCAGCUUCUAUGUUGCCUGUCCUCGGUCCACUUGAAUCUCUUGAGAGAGCUGAGUCCUGUGUGUGCCUAGGCCCUGCCACAGGUAGGGCCCUGGACGCCCUGCCUGUUCAGAAGAGACUGUGGAUGUCCCCGAGCCUUGUGGUCCCUGCUUCGGAUGAUGUGGGGCACAUCCAUCUGAACGCUCAUCACUACCAAGUCCAAGGUUUUGGAAGGAAGCCCUUCUCCUCUCCCAUCUCAGUAUUAGACCAUCGGACCUUGGGACACGAGACUCAGGCCGCUGACUCUGCAUCCCUCACAAGUGCACAGAGCUGCCUGCCCUUUUGCCUUGUGUCCAUCCUGGAGCGGCCUUCUGCCAGCUUCUAUGUUGCCUGUCCUCGGUCCACUUGAAUCUCUUGAGAGAGAUGAGUCCUGUGUGUACCUAGGCCCUGCCACAGGGACCUGGACACCCUGCCUGUUGAGGCAAGGUUGUGGAUGUCCCGGGCCUUAGUGGUCUAUGCUUCGCAUGAUGUGGGGCAGCAUCCAUCUGAACGCUCAUCACUACCAAGGCCAAGGUUUUGGAAGGAAGCCCUUCUCCUCUCCCAUCUUAGUAUUAGACCAUCGGACAUUGGGACACGGGACUCAGGCCGCUGACUCUGCAUCCCUCACAAGUGCACACAGCUGCCUGCCCUUUUGCCUUGUGUCCAUCCUGGAGCGGCCUUCUGCCAGAUUGUAUGUUACCUGUCCUCGGUCCACUUGGAAUCUCUUGAGAGAGCCGAGUCCUGUGUGUUCCUAGGCCCUGUCACAGGUAGGUGGGUGU